rnacentral:rRNA from 1 species
AUUGAACGCUGGCGGCAGGCCUAACACAUGCAAGUCGAGCGGAUGAAGGGAGCUUGCUCCUGGAUUCAGCGGCGGACGGGUGAGUAAUGCCUAGGAAUCUGCCUGGUAGUGGGGGAUAACGUCCGGAAACGGGCGCUAAUACCGCAUACGUCCUGAGGGAGAAAGUGGGGGAUCUUCGGACCUCACGCUAUCAGAUGAGCCUAGGUCGGAUUAGCUAGUUGGUUGGGUAAAGGCCUACCAAGGCGACGAUCCGUAACUGGUCUGAGAGGAUGAUCAGUCACACUGGAACUGAGACACGGUCCAGACUCCUAAGGGAGGCAGCAGUGGGGAAUAUUGGACAAUGGGCGAAAGCAUGAUCCAGCCAUGCCGCGUGUGUGAAGAAGGUCUUCGGAUUGUAAAGCACUUUAAGUUGGGAGGAAGGGCAGUAAGUUAAUACCUUGCUGUUUUGACGUUAACAACAGAAUAAGCACCGGCUAACUUCGUG